rnacentral:rRNA from 1 species
AUUGACCGCUAGCGGCAGGCCUAACACAUGCAAGUCGAACGAGUGGCGGACGGGUGAGUAAUGUAUGGGAAACUGCCUGAGGGAGAGGGAUAACUACUGGAAACGGUAGCUAAUAACGCAUACCAUCAGAUGUGCCCAGCUGGGAUUAGCUAGUUGGUGGGGUAACGGCGCACCAAGUUGACGAUCCCUAGCUGGUCUGAGAGGAUGACCAUCCACGCUGGAACUCAGACACGGUCCAGACUCUUACGGGAGGCAGCAGUGGGGAAUAUUGAACAAUGGGCGCAAUCCUGAGGCAGCCAUGCCGCGUGUAUGAAGAAGGCCUUCGGGUUGUAAAGUACUUGCAGCGGGGAGGCGUUACCCGCAGAAGAAGCACCGGCUAACUCCGUGCCAGCCGCCGCGGUAAUUC